CACGUAGGGGGCGAGCGUUGUCCGGAUUUAUUGGGCGUAAAGAGCUCGUAGGCGGUUUGGUAAGUCGGGUGUGAAAACUCUGGGCUCAAUUCAGAGACGCCACCUGAUACUGCUAUGACUUGAGUCUGGUAGGGGAGUAUGGAAUUUCCGGUGUAGCGGUGAAAUGCGCAGAUAUCGGAAGGAACACCAGUAGCGAAGGCGGUACUCUGGGCCAGAACUGACGCUGAGGAGCGAAAGCGUGGGGAGCGAACAGG
rnacentral:rRNA from 1 species